rnacentral:rRNA from 1 species
AACGAACGCUGGCGGCAGGCCUAACACAUGCAAGUCGAGCGCCCCGCAAGGGGAGCGGCAGCCGGGUGAGUAACGCGUGGGAACGUACCUUUUGGUUCGGAACAACUCCGGGAAACUGGGCUAACUCCGGGAAAGCCCUAAUGGGGAAAGAUUUAACGUCGAAAGGCAGGCCUCCGUCUGAUUAGCCAGUUUGGCUGGCAACGGUCCACCAAUGCGAGGAUCAGUAGCUGGUUUGUGAGGAUGGUCAGUCACACUGGGACGGGGACACGGCAGCGACUCCUACGGGAGGCAGGAGUGGGGAAUAUUGGAAAAUGGGGGCAAGCAUGAUCCAGCCAUGCCGCGAGAGUGAUGAAAGCCUUAGGGUUGUAAAGCGCUUUUGUCCGGGAAGAUAAUGACGGUACCGGAAGAAUAAGCCCCGGCUAACUUCGUG